ensembl:lncRNA
CGGGAAAAACGCUUCACUCGUGCUUUGAAGACAGGAACAACAUCAUCUUUGUUUGUUUCAGCACGGACAAUUUGAUGCGGGGGUCAAAUGUCAAAUUAUGGAUUAACACGCAGUCUCACAGGGAGUGAAGGCGGCGGGCCUAUGAGGUUCUAGGGUUAGGAAGUGAAGUCUAACAGACCAAAGAAGAAUAUGAAUAAAUAAAAGACCACUCCGGUUUUGUACGACAUCAUCCUGAUGAAUAUGUACCACUACUGCAAAACAGGACUUUCUUAAAAGGCAGGAAUCACAACCCCAGAGCCCUUGAUGAACUCGUUGAGCUCCACCCUCCAGAUGCCUUCACAGAUCCUGGGACCCUCGGGGAGCUCUGUGGCCCGUGGAGCAUCUGGCCGAUCGAUGGCCUUUGUU